CUCCUCGUCCUCCCUGCCUGGAGGAAUGAGAGCCACCUCCUUCACCCCAGUAUCGGGACACCUACGCGGCUGGUCCUGCAUAAUCCAGCUGCAAACUGGCUCCACGCGAGGUCCACCAGGAAGAAGCGAUGCCCUUACACCAAGCACCAGACGCUGGAACUGGAGAAGGAGUUUCUGUUCAAUAUGUAUCUCACUAGGGACCGUAGGUACGAGGUGGCCAGGCUCCUCAAUUUAACUGAGAGACAAGUGAAAAUCUGGUUUCAGAACCGAAGGAUGAAAAUGAAGAAAAUCAACAAGGACCGAGCGAAGGACGAGUGAUGGCAACAUGCGGGUUAAAUUGAAAAAUGCAUAAAGUAAAAAAAAAAAAAGAAAAAAAAAGGAAAAAAAAAAUAAAAAAGUUAAAAAUAUAUAUAUAUUCCUCCCCUCGAGCCCUGCCAUGCAAUGCGUCUGGGUCCAGGCCUCGUUUUUUUCCCUUGGCAAAUUCUGAUAAUGAUUGUACCUUGAUUGUCACAGAGGCCAGUUUACCAGGAGAGGUACAGUAAGACUUUUAAUUUUCUAAUAGGAAAGAAAAAGGGGGCAUUAGCACGAAAAGGCUGUUUAGCUGGCUUGUAUAAAUCUACCUGUUUCUUCACUUACGGCAAGAAAAAAAAAAAAAGAAAAGAAAAAAAAAAAGAAGAAGAAAAAACUACCUUUUCAUAAUGCACAACUAUUUACGGACUGUAUAGUUUAGUCUACGUAGUUAAUUUUAUUCGCUCUUUGCGCGGCAGAGAGAUCUCUGCUCUAAUACUUGAACACUGUGUUUUAUUGUGGUAAUUAUGUUUGUGACUCAAUUUAUGUGCUUGGGUGCUGUACCGGAUGUAAUGGUGUAAGCUAGAAUUCAAUUUGAACUCAGGUUGUUUAUUAUAAAAAUUGCAUAGAGUAUAGCUCUGUAGUGUAUUAAGUCUUUUCUGUAUAAUUAGACAGUUAACCUUUGAUUGUAAAAUAUAUAUUAUAUAUAUCCCAACGCAAAAGAAAAAAAAAAAAGGUAGAAAAAAAGUUCGUCCGGGAUGUCUGGGAAUUACGGUUCUCAAAAUAUUGAAGCAAGUCAUUUUAGUAUGCACAGUUGAUAUAUAUAUAGUACUGUCUUUGUCAGUUGUAUAUAUAAUCUAUAUAUUAAAAAAAAAGUAAAUAAACAGACUAGCUUAAAUAUUGUUUUUGCACCAGUGAGCAGUUAUCAGAUUUCGGAGCUAUACGUAUAUGUGAAAAGGGUAACUACCUAUGGUUUACGUUUUAAUUUUAAUCGAAUGAUUUGAUGGUUAUUGUAAUGAAGGUUAAUUUUAUUGUUAAUAAAUUAUACGCUAUAAAAACCUACAUUUGGUUAUUGUAAAUUUGUAUCGAUUUAAAAAAAAAAAACAAAUAAAUCCGGGAGGUUAUGUUGAUGCAGAACGUACACUGUCUAUUUUGAAAUAGUUACCUCAUGGCCUACUGACCAAAUCCUUGUGUUGAAAUGAUAUUUAACUUUUUGCCAAAUAAAAUAUAUUGAUUCUUUUA